AUUGAACGCUGGCGGCAGGCCUAACACAUGCAAGUCGAACGAGUGGCGGACGGGUGAGUAAUGUCUGGGAAACUGCCCGAUGGAGGGGGGUAACUCCUGGAAACGGUAGCUAAUACCGCAUACCAUCGGAUGUGCCCAGAUGGGAUUAGCUAGUAGGUGGGGUAACGGCUCACCUAGGCGACGAUCCCUAGCUGGUCUGAGAGGAUGACCAGCCACACGGGAACUGAGAGACGGUCAAGACUCCUACGGGAGGCAGCAGUGGGGAAUAUGGCACAAUGGGAGGAAGCCUGAUGCAGCCAUGCCGCGUGUAUGAAGAAGGCCGUCGGGUUGUAAAGUACUUUCAGCGAGGAGGCGUUACUAGCAGAAGAAGCACCGGCUAACUCCGUGCCAGAAGCCGCGGUAAUAC
rnacentral:rRNA from 1 species